GAUGAAGAACGUAGCGAAAUGCGAUACUUGGUGUGAAUUGCAGAAUCCCGUGAACCAUCGAGUCUUUGAACGCAAGUUGCGCCCGAAGCCACUAGGCCGAGGGCACGCCUGCCUGGGCGUCACACGCCGCUGCCCCCCCAUCUACUCCUUCGGGAUUGCGGGGGGGCGGAUGAUGGCCUCCCGUGCGCCUAGCCGCGCGGUUGGCAUAAAUACCAAGUCCUCGGCGACGCACGCCACGACAAUCGGUGGUUGCGAAACCUCGGUUGCCCGUCGUGGGCGUUCGUCGCGCAUCGAGGGCUCGAAAAAAUGCUCGGCUCCGGCUGGGCUUUCAACGCGACCCCAGGUCAGGCGGGGUUACCCGCUGAAUUUAAGCAUAUCAAUAAGCGGAGGA
rnacentral:misc_RNA from 1 species